rnacentral:misc_RNA from 1 species
AAUUUCAGGGGAAGAAGGAAGAAGGAAGAAGAAAUGGAGAAUGGAAGAAAGUAGAACAGAAUGAGAUUGAGGAAUGAGGGAAGAGGGAAAGAGAGAGAGAUAAAGAAGAAGAAGAGAGAAACCUGGAAUUUGGAAGACUACCACUGAUCUUCCAUGGUUGUGACUUCCACAAGCUGAUUUGGAAGUAAGCUCACUCGAGAACAAAGCUCUGAUACCACUUUGUUACACGUCAGACAGAACUGCACAACUUACUGAAACAAAGGAAUAGGGAGAGAAAGAGAUAG